rnacentral:snoRNA from 1 species
GUAAAUGAUGAUAAUUUUUUCACUAUUAUAUUUUCUGGUACCUCUUGAUUUAGGAAACUUUUCUCUACGGAAAGUGACGAUGAUCUCAACGGACUUCUGAUA